rnacentral:rRNA from 1 species
AUACAGGGCCAACGGUCUUGUUAUUGGAAUGAGAACAAUUUAAAUAACUUAACGAGGAUCAAUUAGAGGGCAAGUCUGGUGCCAGCAGCCGCGGUAAUUCCAGCUCUAAUAGCGUAUAUUAAAGUUGUUGCAGUUAAAAAGCUCGUAGUCGGAUUUUGGGCGCGUGUGAACUGUCAGCCUCUGGUUGGACGGUGCGCGCGUGCCUUUCUGCUUGGGAGCCCCAUGGUGGUUAAUUCUGUCGUGGUGGGUCACAGGCCGUUUACUUUGAAAAAAAAUUAGAGUGUUCAAAGCAGGCUGUUGCUUGAAUAGAUUAGCAUGGAAUAAUGGAAUAGGACCUUGGUGCUAUUUCGUUGGUUAUGGGACUGGGGUAAUGAUUAAUAGGGACAGUUGGGGCCGUUCAUAUUUCGUUGUCAGAGGUGAAAUUCUUGGAUUUACGAACGAUGAACUUGUGCGAAAGCAUUCGGCAAGGAUGUUUUCAUUGAUCAAGAACGAAAGUUAGGGGAUCGAAGACGAUCAGAUACCGUCGUAGUCUUAACCAUAAACUAUGCCAACUAGGGAUCAUUGAGUGUCAAUUUACGACCUCAUUGGCACCUUGUGAGAAAUCAAAGUCUUUGGGUUCCGGGGGGAGUAUGGUCGCAAGGCUGAAACUUAAAGGAAUUGACGGAAGGGCACCACCAGGAGUGGAGCCUGCGGCUUAAUUUGACUCAACACGGGGAAACUUACCAGGUCCAGACAUAGCCAGGAUGAACAGAUUGAAAGCUCUUUCUUGAUUCUAUGGGUGGUGGUGCAUGGCCGUUCUUAGUUGGUGGAGUGAUUUGUCUGGUUAAUUCCGUUAACGAACGAGACCUCAGCCUGCUAACUAGCGAUGCCCAUUUUAAUGGGUAGCCCGCUUCUUAGAGGGACUAUUCGUGUUCAACGAAUGGAAGUUUGAGGCAAUAACAGGUCUGUGAUGCCCUUAGAUGUUCUGGACCGCACGCGCGCUACACUGAUGGAUGCAACGAGCUCUACCCUUGACCGAAAGGCCCGGGUAAACUUGUCAAAAUCCAUCGUGAUGGGGAUAGAUUAUUGCAAUUCUUGAUCUUCAACGAGGAAUUCCUAGUAAGCGCGAGUCAUCAGCUCGCGUUGAUUACGUCCCUGCCCUUUGUACACACCGCCCGUCGCUCCUACCGAUUGAAUGGUCCGGCGAAAUCUUCAGAUUGCUGGCGAGGCUAACCCCUCGCUGUGAGAAGUUGAU